UCGGGAAUUUUGGGCAAUGGGCGAAAGCCUGACCCAGCAACGCCGCGUGAAGGAUGAAGUAUUUCGGUAUGUAAACUUCGUAAGAAUAGGAAGAAUAAAUGACGGUACUAUUUAUAAGGUCCGGCUAACUACGUGCCAGCAGCCGCGGUAAUACGUAGGGACCAAGCGUUGUUCGGAUUUACUGGGCGUAAAGGGCGCGUAGGCGGCAAUUCAAGUCAUCUGUGAAAUCUCCGGGCUUAACUCGGAACGGUCAGAUGAUACUGCUUUGCUAGAGUGCAGAAGGGGCAAUCGGAAUUCUUGGUGUAGCGGUGAAAUGCGUAGAUAUCAAGAGGAACACCUGAGGUGAAGACGGGUUGCUGGGCUGACACUGACGCUGAGGCGCGAAAGCCAGGGGAGCAAACGGGAUUAGAUACCCCAGUAGUCCCUGAGCGGGCUGGCAAGGCGCAU
rnacentral:rRNA from 1 species